UACAGAGGGGGCAAGCGUUGUUCGGAAUUACUGGGCGUAAAGGGCGCGUAGGCGGCCUUCUAAGUCGAACGUGAAAUCCCCGGGCUCAACCCGGGAACUGCGUCCGAUACUGGAAGGCUUGAAUCCGGGAGAGGGAUGCGGAAUUGACGGUGUAGCGGUGAAAUGCGUAGAGAUCCGGAGGAACCCCAGAGGCGAAGGCGGCGCCCUGGCUCGCAACUGACGCUCAGACACGACAGCAUGGGGAGCGAACGGG
rnacentral:rRNA from 1 species